GGGGGGGGGGGGGGGGGAAAUCGAGGGAGCAGAUGGAAGACGGGGAAAGGUGUGGUAACAAGAGAGAAAGGUCGGGCAGGCCAGGCAGUCUCAAGGAAACGCUUUGUUCGGCGAUUUCCAAAACAAGGUUCCUGAGUGGAGUGGGAAUUAUGCGUUUGGCUGUUCGCGCGCCGCUCGCUUCAGAUGGCGUUAUCUCUUUAGCUGGCGUCACCUGUUUUCCGCCUCGCUAUUUUACGCCGCGCCGAUUUAUGCCUUCUAGGAGUGUCGCUGGUUAGGCGUGUAUUCUCUCUUCGUUCUUCGUUUGUUUGUGUCUCUCUUCAUACUAACUUGCCGCGUGUUUCGUCUACUUUUGGGGAACUGCGGUCUCGAUGCCUUGUCGAAUUCUCGCCCUUUCCGUGUUUCUUCCUUUCUGAUACCCUAAACGUCGUAUUGUGCGUGCGCCAGCCCCCUGUCACCGUCUACGCUUUCUUUCUGUGUGCCGCGAUAGGUGCACAUCUGCAUGCUUAUUUACGUGUACGCAUCAUCUGAUUUGGCUUAUGAACAGUUCUUGCUGUUGAUUCUUGUCUGCGAAAAGGUGUACUUUUUCUUUUGUAACGAUGAUGGAGACGAGGUGAUGGACCCGAUGUUCGGAGUUCCACGCCCGCGCGAGUUUUUCCGUCACUGAGGGCGCAUGCAGCGAGGGAGAGAAGAACGGGGAAAGAAAGGAAUCCUGACAAAGACGAACCGUACGCUUUUGAGCCACUGUUUUCUUUUCUAUUUUGCUUGUGCCGCAGUGCGUCCAAACAACAGGAGACAAAAACUGUUGACGAAACGAGCAUCGCAUUGCACAUGCGCAUCCGUUGCACAAACUA
rnacentral:lncRNA from 1 species